GCCACAUAAGUUUUGGUCCGGAAAACAGUUAAGUUUACCAAUGACCACAAAACGGUAACUGAAACUGCAUUUCUCCAUCUUCACGUAUUCUGGGCUGACUGCACUCUCUGUUUCUUUCUCAGCAUUACAACAAUGGCAGCACCAAAACUGCCAAUAUCUAUACUCAAUAAUACUACAGUUAAAUCAAUGGCGAAUGAUCGCACCAUGCUUCGUUAUCCUCCUUCCAAACCGCAGCAACGCCCAACCAUGUCGGCUUUCGAAGCUCGCGUCUCUCUCCUCUUCGCGCUCGCUUCGCAAUCUGCUUCUGUAUCUCAGCGAGUUGUGGCUGAUUUAAUAUCUGAGACUAGCAAGUAUGUUGUUCCGAAGCGAUUCGAGAGUCGGAAUCUCGAAGAAGCUUUGAUGACUGUUCCGGACCUUGAGACUGUGAAUUUUAAGGUGUUGAGUAGGAAGGACAAGUAUGAGAUCCGAGAAGUUGAGCCUUACUUUAUAGCAGAGACAACCAUGCCUGGGAAAGAAGGCUUUGAUUUCUUUGGAUCUUCUCAGUCCUUCAAUAUGUUAGCUGAGUAUUUGUUUGGUAAGAAUAUAACAAAUGAGAAAAUGGAGAUGACAACACCUGUUAUCACCCGUAGGACAUCUGAUGGAGAGAAAAUGGAAAUGACGACCCCUGUGAUUACAAGGAGGGGAAGGGGUCAAGAAAAAUGGAAGAUGUCUUUUGUCUUGCCUUCAAAAUAUGGUUCCAAUUUGCCCAUACCUAAAGAUUCAGCUGUGAAGGUCACUGAGGUGCCAAAGAAAAUAGUUGCAGUUGCUGCCUUCUCAGGUAAUGUCACUGAUGAAGAGGUCAAACAACGAGAGUCAAAAUUGAGAGAUGCUCUGAAGAAUGACUUGGAGUUUGAAGUUAAAGUGGGAGCUGAAGUAGAAGUUGCACAGUAUAACCCACCAUUCACACUUCCAUUUACUCGCCGUAAUGAAAUUUCUCUAGAAGUUGAAAGGAGGAACACUAGUUCUUAACAGCUCAUACGGGAUCCUUGAAUGGAGAAGCACCAGAUUAUAGUCAAUGACUUGAUGAAGAACAAAAUGAUAAGGCAAUUUCCAUUAUUGUUUGCUCCCAAAGUUUACCGUCAGUUUCUUCUGUCAUUUCAGAAAAGUGCUCUGAAGGUUAGCACCUGUUUCAGAUAUGUUUGUUCAGCUUCUUAAUCCGGUACUUUCAAUUUCAUAUCACUUUCAUAUCAAUUACGGUUUGAAUUCGAUUCCCUUUCUAGGUGAAAUCCAUGCAGUAACAGUGUUUGAGAACCACAGAUUAUGAUUCAGAUAGUUGCUCCAGGAAAUAGAAUGAUUUCUUUUAAAAAUUUCUCCUCUUUUUUGAAUUCAAAACAUCAGUUCCCUACUCUUAAGCACUUUGAUAGGAUUGAGGCUUCCUAAUGAAUGCAAGUAUUUUCUUGGUUGACAGAAUAAUAAAAAUUAAAAAAUAAAAAUAAAAAAACUUGGAAAGUGGAUAUUAUGGAGUAGCUUAGUUGACGAAAAUAUUAUGAGUUAGUAUUACUUUUCGUUAAAUGUGAGGAAUUGCUUACCUCUAGCCAAGUUGAACUUUUUAUGUGGGAAGUAAUAUUACUCAUGAUUGAUCAAACAACUUUUUACUCUUCCUAGGAACUGGAACUACUUAGGAAAGUCAACUUCUUAGGAAAAAACACUUCUUAGGAAGUAUUACUUCCAAAGGCUCCUAUGUUCAUGAUCUUUUGAUUGAACAUAGCACGAAUAGAAAGUUGAUUUUGUUACCAUAUGAUUUCAUUAUAAUGAUAAAAGUUGUUUGGUUAAUCAUGGGAAGUAAAACACUCUGCAAGAAGUUUAACUUCAUUCUAGGGGGAACUAUAACUUCCUAGGAAGUUAUAUUAUGGUGCCUUCAAUUAUUUUUGUUUCCUUAAUUAGUUUUGUUUCCUUGUUUAUAUUACGUAAACCAAACAAACACUAUAUUUGCUUAUAGUUGCAGAUUACUUUAGGCUCAGUUCACCAUUGUUUGGUUUGCUUUCUCAUUUCUUUACCAGUCUUCUUUUCUUUCUCUGCUGGUAGAUAAGCAUAACCUUUGUGGUGCCAAUGGGGUUGAUAGAUGUUCCACUUAUGUUUAUUUUCUAUUUUUCAUUUUUUAAUCAUCUUUCCAUCUUAUCACAUUUUUGUUGUUUCAGUUUAAUUUAAGAACCAUUCAUUCUAUAUUUACUAUUCAAUGCAGAAAAUUAUUAUCAUGUUAAAUGUCAUGGUAAUAAUUAAUUGAUUCUAGUAGUGGGUUUAAUUAUGGAGUAUGAAUAUAAAACUCGAGAUGAUGUAGAAUCAAAAGGUGAAUGAUUUGUAAGAUAGAAAAGUAAAUUUAGGAGAAAUAAAAAAAAAAAAGAAACUAGUUCUGUGUAUGUGAUGAUCAGUAUUUGAACAUGUCAAACCCCUGUAUUACUUCAAGGCCCCAGGUUAAAAUGAUUAUCAUGCAAUAUGUAAGAAGCAACAACUACUUUAACCAAUUUUUUCUGAGGUUGCUAUUAUGAGAAGUGUGGUGGGGAUUAUAGUUCUACCUAGUAAAUUUGCCUGGUCAACCACCAAUAUAUCAUGGUGCUGGUAGUGAUGUCUAUUUCUUGACUAUGAAAGUAGUAUUUGUUGUAACUUACACAUAUUAACCAUCCAUUUUCGCAGGAGUUGAACAUGCCAUUGCUAAAGAAACCUUUUGUUUUUUGUUGUCUUUGAUUGUAAUGGACUUGAUCAAACCUUUGACUAAACUGUACUUGCUUCUUUUGAAGUAUCGUGCUAGUUUAUACUUUUCCAGGCCAACGGUAUGGUGAAAUACAAAAAAUUGUCUCUUUGCAAGCAUGUGUAUUGCAUAUGAUGAGAAGUACUUGAUGUGUGUUAUGGUGUUAUUCAUUUAUUUCUGUUGUCAAAGAGAUUAAAGCCUUUGAAUAGAGAUCAGUAGGUGAUUCUUCCUUGGAUUUUCUGCAUAAACUGCAGAGUUCUUACCUAGAAUUGGACAUAUAAAUUAUAAUAUUUCUUAUAAUUUAUAACUGACAUUGUUCCUUAAUAUAAUAACUCUGGAUGAUCUUGUAAAAAUGCAUUGCAUCAAAUUGGGAUCAUAUGGCUUAUAUACUCUACCUUUGGGGAUCUAUGCAUCAACAAUUACCACCAUCUAUAGCAGAUUUCAUUAUUCGCAUGAUUUGUGGGUAUUGUAGAUGUACAUGAUCUUUCCUCAAAGAGUCAGAUUGAUUUUGUUUCGGAUCUUUAGAAAGUGUAAGCUGGUUAAGGCUAGACUAGAUUUAUUUGUGCUAUUGAUUGUAGAUUGUCCUCCUGAUAAGCUUGUUAUUCCUUAGGUUAAACUCGACUUUUCAAACGUGUCCUAAAAUCUAGUUGGUAAAGUUAAGUUUGAGAGGAACAGGUAGGUGCUGAAGUAAUAAUCAAAGAAAGAGGUUAUCAUGGAUAAGAGAAUUAGAGAUUAAGGAAUAUAAAAAGAAGAUAAAAUUAGGUUAGUCUGUCCUGGAGAUGUUGACAGCCAUGCCAGUUGAAAGGCAUGCUCUCUAACAUCAACAUAGGUGGACCAAUUAGGAGUAUUUUUACUACCCUACCCGAGUUAUGACAUUCUCUUUUCACUUUUAACUUUGAUUUUCUGUGCCUGAACUAGACUUAUUUAAUGAAGAUCUAUGGUCAACGCAGACAACUUCUUCUUCAGUACACUUUUGCCUCCACAACAGGUCUGAAGCUCUGAACUGCAGUUUUAUUUGUACUCAACUUUGUUAAAUCUGUGUUAGUGUUACUAGUUACAUGACCUGCCUUGACUCACUAAGAAACUUGUAUGAAGGUCACAUUUUCUGUUUUUGAAGAUAAGAAUCUUAAUUUUUCUAUUUCCUGCAAGUUUUUUCCCCUCAACUAUGGAUCACAAAAUUACCUUUUUCUUUUUUUCUAAUAAUAUCUUAAGAGUAAACUAAACUAGUUUAUAAUUACCCUUUUCAUUAUUUUGUUUAGUUACAAUUUUUUUAAAAAAAAUUUAGAUGUACAAACAAAAGAUUAAUUUAUUGUUUAGUUUUUGUGUUUGUGUUGUAUGGAAAUCAUUAAUCUUCACCAAUCUCUUGUAUCUGUUUUCAUGCAACGUAGA